rnacentral:rRNA from 1 species
ACGGGUGAGUAACACGUAUGCAAUCCCACCUGUAACGAGGGGGAUAACCCGGAGAAAUCCGGACUAAUACCCCAUAAUAUGGGCGCUCCGCAUGGAGAGUCCAUUAAAGAGAGCAAUCUUGGUUACAGACGAGCAUGCGCUCCAUUAGCCAGUUGGCGGGGUAACGGCCCACCAAGGCGACGAUGGAUAGGGGUUCUGAGAGGAAGGUCCCCCACAUUGGAACUGAGACACGGUCCAA